rnacentral:rRNA from 1 species
UACGUAGGGUGCGAGCGUUGUCCGGAAUUACUGGGCGUAAAGGGUUCGUAGGCGGUGCGGUAAGUCACUUGUGAAAUCUCCUGGCUCAACUGGGAGCUUGCAGGCGAAACUGCCGUGCUGGAGUGUGGGAGAGGUGCGUGGAAUUCCCGGUGUAGCGGUGAAAUGCGUAGAUAUUGGGAGGAACACCAGUGGCGAAGGCGGCUCACUGGACCGGUACUGACGCUGAGGCGCGAAAGCGUGGGGAGCAAACGGG